UACAGAGGUCUCAAGCGUUGUUCGGAUUCAUUGGGCGUAAAGGGUGCGUAGGCGGCGCGGUAAGUCGGGUGUGAAAUCUCGGAGCUUAACUCCGAAACUGCAUUCGAUACUGCCGUGCUUGAGGACUGGAGAGGAGACUGGAAUUUACGGUGUAGCGGUGAAAUGCGUAGAUAUCAGGAGGAACACCUAUUGCGAAGGCAGCUCGCUGGGACGUUACUGACGCUGAGACGCGAAAGCGUGGGGAGCAAACAGG
rnacentral:rRNA from 1 species